rnacentral:rRNA from 1 species
GACAGAGGGUGCGAACGUUGUUCGGAAUUACUGGGCGUAAAGCGCGUGUAGGCGGCAGCGCAAGUCGGGCGUGAAAUCCCACGGCUCAACCGUGGAAGUGCACUCGAAACUGCGCAGCUAGAGUCCUGGAGAGGAAGGUGGAAUGCUUGGUGUAGAGGUGAAAUUCGUAGAUAUCAGGAGGAACACCGAUGGCGAAGGCAGGUCUCUGGGCCACUACUGACGCUGAGAAGCGAAAGCAUGGGGAGCGAACAGG